AUAUCAAUAAGCGGAGGAAAAGAAACCAACAGGGAUUACCUCAGUAACGGCGAGUGAAGCGGUAACAGCUCAAAUUUGAAAUCUGGCGCUCUCAGCGUCCGAGUUGUAAUUUGUAGAAGAUGCUUUGGGUGUGGCUCCGGUCUAAGUUCCUUGGAACAGGACGUCAUAGAGGGUGAGAAUCCCGUAUGUGACUGGCGGCCUUCGCCUGUGUAAAGCUCUUUCGACGAGUCGAGUUGUUUGGGAAUGCAGCUCUAAAUGGGAGGUAUAUUUCUUCUAAAGCUAAAUAUUGGCCAGAGACCGAUAGCGCACAAGUAGAGUGAUCGAAAGAUGAAAAGCACUUUGGAAAGAGAGUUAAACAGUACGUGAAAUUGUUGAAAGGGAAGCGCUUGCAACCAGACUUGCCUGCCGUCGAUCAUCCUGGGUUCUCCCUGGUGCACUCGGCGGCGGUCAGGCCAGCAUCGGUUUCGGUGGUGGGAUAAAGGCUGUGGGAACGUAGCUCCUCUCGGGGAGUGUUAUAGCCCUCGGUGCAAUGCCGCCUACCGGGACCGAGGACCGCGCUUCGGCUAGGAUGCUGGCGUAAUGGUUGUAAGCGACCCGUCUUGAAACACGGACCAAGGAGUCUAACAUCUAUGCGAGUGUUUGGGUGUUAAACCCAUACGCGUAAUUAACGUGAACGGAGGUGAGAACCCUUUAGGGUGCAUCAUCGACCGAUCCUGAUGUCUUCGGAUGGAUUUGAGUAAGAGCAUAGCUGUUGGGACCCGAAAGAUGGUGAACUAUGCCUAAAUAGGGUGAAGCCAGAGGAAACUCUGGUGGAGGCUCGCAGCGGUUCUGACGUGCAAAUCGAUCGUCAAAUUUGGGUAUAGGGGCGAAAGACUAAUCGAACCA
rnacentral:rRNA from 1 species